rnacentral:rRNA from 1 species
GAAAUGCGAUAAGUAAUGUGAAUUGCAGAAUUCAGUGAAUCAUCGAAUCUUUGAACGCACCUUGCGCUCCUUGGUAUUCCGAGGAGCAUGCCUGUUUGAGUGUCAUGAAAUUCUCAACCUACAAGCCUUUUCGGAGGUYCUUGUACGGCUUGGACUUGGAGGAUCAUUGUCGGCAGCGAUGUCGGCUCCUCUUAAACGCAUUAGCUAGUUCUCGCGGAACGGCUUUCGGUGUGAUAAUUGUCUACGCCGUGGUCGUACCGAGUAUAUGGACGAGCUUCUAAACYGUCACUCCUUGUGAGAGACACAUAUCUUGACAUCUGACCUCAAAUCAGGUAGGACUACCCGCUGAACUUAA